rnacentral:rRNA from 1 species
GACGAACGCUGGCGGCGUGCUUUACACAUGCAAGUCGAACGAGAACCUUCUUCGGGAAGCAGAGAGUGGCGAACGGGUGAGUAACACGUGGGCAACCUACCCCUCACACUGGGAUAACCUCGGGAAACCGGGGCUAAUACCGGAUAUUCACGACCUCGGGCAUCCGAGGACGUGGAAAGGAUUCUGGUGAGGGAUGGGCCCGCGGCCUAUCAGUUUGUUGGUGGGUAAUGGCCUACCAAGACGACGACGGGUAGCCGGCCUGAGAGGGCGACCGGCCACACUGGGACUGAGACACGGCCCAGACUCCUACGGGAGGCUGCAGUGGGGAAUAUUGCGCAAUGGACGAAAGUCUGACGCAGCAACGCCGCGUGAGGGAUGAAGUACAUCGAGAUGUAAACCUCUUUCAGCAGGGACGAAGCGAAAGUGACGGUACCUGCAGAAGAAGCGCCGGCUAACUACGUG